AUGGCGAUGACGACGGCGCAUGGGACGUUGCCUCCCCCGUCCGUAACGGCGGUGGAACUGGUCCCCCUGCCCGCGCCGUCGCCAUCACUGCCAGUGACUGACUUCGAGGAGUUCUCCCCGAUUUGUUUGUCCACCCAGCCAGCCUUUUUGCUCCCAGAUGCAUUCUCUCAAUUCUUUUCAUUCGCUGCAUGCCCUACCUUGUAUGGGGUUCAUGUGCACACAUUUGCAUGUGUUUUUGCUGCUGAUUUGCUCCAAUGCAUGUGUUCAGCUUUUGUGCACAGGGUAUGUAUGUUCUUCAAGUGGAAUGUAGUCCUACAUGUUUCUGAUCUAGAUCACCCUCAUGAACUUGAGGGCAAAAAUAGUGAUAUUGGGAUGGACCAUUGCAAAUUUGCCAUGCAAUCUAGAAAUCAUUGCAUACACGGUGGGAGAUCUAUGAGCUGUUUAGAUCGUAGCUAAAAAACUUUAU
rnacentral:lncRNA from 1 species